rnacentral:sRNA from 1 species
UAGUCAUACCUACUGUUUCUAUAGUUGA